UCUUCCCAUAGCCAAGAAAUCCAUGCAAAAUUCCAUAGCUGAGAAAUCCAUGGAAAACUCAUUGUGGGAUAGAUUCACCUUGGAGAAAUCCAUGGAAAACUCUUCCCAAAGUUGAGAAAUCCAUGGAAAACUCACUGUGGGAUGGAUUCACCUUGGAGAAAUCCAUGGAAAAUUCCAAAGUUGAGAAAUCCAUGGAAAACUCGUUGUGGGACGGAUUCACCUUGGAGAAAUCCAUGGAAAAUUCUUCCUAUAACCAAGAAAUCCGUGGAAAAUUCCAUAGUUGAGAAAUCCAUGGAAAACUCAUUGUGGGAUAGAUUCACCUUGGAGAAAUUCAUGGAAAAUUCUUCCCAUAGUUGAGAAAUCCAUGAAAAACUCUUCCCAAAGAUGAGAAACCCAUGGAAAAAUCGCUGUGGGAUGGAUUCACCUUGGAGAAAUCCAUGGAAAAUUCUUCCCAUAAUUGAGAAAUCCAUGGAAAACUCUUCCCAAAGUUGAGAAAUCCAUGGAAAACUCACUGUGAGAUGGAAUCAUCUUGGAGAAAUCCAUGGAAAAUUCCAUAGUUGAGAAAUCCAUGGAAAACUUACCUGGGGACGGAUUCACCUUGGAGAAAUCCAUGGAAAAUUCUUCCCAUAAUUGAGAAAUCCAUGGAAAACUCUUUCCCAGGCCAAGAAAUCCAUGGAAAACUCUUCCAAAAGUUGAGAAAUCCAUGGAAAACUCACUGUGGGAUGGAAUCAUCUUGGAGAAAUCCAUGGAAAAUUCCAUCGUUGAGAAAUCUAUGGAAAACUUACCUGGGGAUGGAUUCAUGGAGAAAUCCAUGGAAAACUUGCUGUGGGAUGGAUUCACCUUGGAGAAAUCCAUGGAAAAUUCUUCCCAUAAUUGAGAAAUCCAUGGAAAACUUACCUGGGGAUGGAUUCAUGGAGAAACCCAUGGAAAACUUGCCUGGGGACGGAUUCAUCUUGGAGAAAUCCAUGGAAAAUUCCAUCGUUGAGAAAUCCAUGGAAAACUUGCAGUGGGAUGGAUUCAUGGAGAAAUCCAUGGAAAACUCGCUGUGGGACGGAUUCACCUUGGAGAAAUCCAUGGAAAAUUCUUCCCAUAAUUGAGAAAUCCAUGGAAAACUCUUCCCAUAACCAAGAAAUCCAUGGAAAACUCUCCCAUGGCCAAGAAAUCCAUGGAAAAUUCUCCCAUGACCAAGAAAUCCAUGGAAAACUCUUCCCAAAGUUGAGAAAUCACGGAAAACUCCGGAGGGACCGAGGGAACGCCGGGAAUUGGGGGAGGGCAAAGUUGGAUUUUGGGCUCUUUUUCUCCUGCUCUGGUUCUGUUGGAAAUAAAUUCCUCCCACCCCAAAUUUGUCGUUCCCAGAUGGAAUUUCC
rnacentral:lncRNA from 1 species